AACGCGUAGGUAACCUAUCCUUACAUUUGGGAUAACAUCGGGAAACUGGUGCUAAUACCGAAUGGUCUUCAUUGCUUUGGGGCGAUGGAGUAAAGGUGGCCUCUUCAUGAAAGCUACCGUGUAGGGAUGAGCCUGCGUACCAUUAGCUAGUAGGUGGGGUAAUGGCCCACCUAGGCUACGAUGGUUAGCGGGUCUGAGAGGAUGAUCCGCCACACUGGAACUGAAACACGGACCAG
rnacentral:rRNA from 1 species